rnacentral:rRNA from 1 species
AGAGACAGCAGUAGCCGCGGUAACACGAGGAGAGCUAGCGUUAUUCGGAAUUACUGGGCGUAAAGCGCACGUAGGCGGCUUUGUAAGUUAGAGGUGAAAGCCCAGAGCUCAACUCUGGAAUUGCCUUUAAGACUGCAUCGCUUGAAUCCAGGAGAGGUGAGUGGAAUUCCGAGUGUAGAGGUGAAAUUCGUAGAUAUUCGGAAGAACGCCAGUGGCGAAGGCGGCUCACUGGACUGGUAUUGACGCUGGGGUGCGAAAGCGUGGGGAGCAAACAGGAUUAGAGACCCGUGUAGUCCCUGUCUCUUAUAC